UGGUAAGUAGUUUAAACAAAACAAAUGAUUUCGACUCAUUAAAUUAUGAUAGCCAUACUAACCAA
rnacentral:tRNA from 6 species